UCACAAGUAGGCCUGUGUGGCAAGCAUUGUCCCUAGUGCAACUGUGGAGACACAAAACAAACAGUUUAGACAUGGCACAGCCCCAGAGCCCAACCUUAAGUAGGCACUCACGUAUCUGCUAGUUUACUGAAUUAAUUAAACAUAUAAUCUAGUUUGAGAGAGGCAAAUGACAGAUAUGAUGUAAUUAAAAAUCAAAUGCCAAACUGCAUGAUACUAACUAUAAAUAAAGGUGGAACUAUAAAUAAAGGUGGAAGAGGAAGGGGAGAUUGAAAUGGACAACAGAGCUGCAGAGGUUGUCACUGACACGUCACCCAGGGUGGACUCCUGGCAGGGAAAAGGAGGAGACCCCGGCUGGAGGACAAAGACAAGCAGAGGGUUGUUUGCCACGAUCCAGAGGCUUAAGCCUCCAGUGAAAAGAUGCCACGUCUGAGAAAGUGAAGAAGGGAACCCCUGAUUAGAGAGAGAUGCUUCUUCUGUGGUCUACGUGCAUGAAAGUCUUUAGGGAAGACGAAAGAUCGUAAGUCAUAACCACCCACAAUCUGAAGAAUUUCCAACUCAACUUGUUCCAAGCCUUUUCCCAUGGCACCCAGAUGCCAAGGACCGGCAGGGUACGGGAAACAAACACACAGGCAAUGCAUGAUAGAAGCCCCUCAUCGAGGGACUGCGUCCCUUGUGCUGAUGUAUCUGAAGCUUGCUCUGGUGGGAGGCCCCCCGGAGACAGCAAGGAGCCCCAGGAGCAUCUUCCGAAAACACCUGUCGGUAAACAUGUUAAGUGUCCCGGUCUAACUACUUACGGUAAGCUGAAGUCCGAGAGUGGGUGAAGACACUCAGUUUCAAGCUGGGGAGAGCAAGGCUGGGAUCCAAGCCUUUUGGAGCUGGGAUCUCUGUUUAAACACUCUGUUUAAAAGCUCAUCAGCUUUGGGGAAAAGGCAGCACUUCUGAAAAACCUCCCUUGCGAGUUCCUUUGCCCCUUCACCCUGCCCACUGCAGAAGCGGGGUGUCUUCAUUCCUUCCUGACACCAUGUCAUGAGACGGGAUGCUCAGCUUCUCACAGCGGGCCGUCCAUACAGAGCCCCGGGACAGCUUUACAUGAGGCAGGCAAAAGAAGCUGGAACAUUUUCCAGGGGAGGUCAUUAUGUAAUCCGAACGCUAUCCUUCAUCACACCUAUGCUUCUGGGAAGAGCAAGAGGUCCAUGAGCUCUGCAGACUCCAGAGAAGGGGGCGUCGUUAGGAUCAGCCCAUAGCCUCUGGCCAGGGAGGGCAGUCCAACCGAGACUCAUAAGAGUCUCCCCUUUUAGGAGCACUGGGUUUAGCAUGCUUCUUAUGAAGACAGCUGUCUGAGGAUUUUGAAUGGCUCUCACCUCUUAAAGGACGACUACUCAAAUCAACCAUCCAUUCCACUGUGAAUAGCCUUUUGUGAAAAAACCGUGAACAUGAGCCCAAUUCCAAAGACCUCUGACCUUCUGGGUCUGCCUCUGGCAGGACUGGCAAAGCACAGAAGGAGUGAUCUUGGGCCCCCUCCUCGAGCAAACCUCUCCAUCUGCCCCCGGCCACUGGGUGCUGACCAUCCUCCAACCAUCCAUAUCGCUUCCUCCCCAAGUGGCACUCCAGACCUCAGUCUCUGCUUGCUCUGCCUCUAAAGAAUUCCCUCUCAACGUACCAUUCCCGGGUCCACUCCUGGGACCACACCCUCUGCCAGACAAGGCAGAUAUAUAAAGCAACUCUCCCCUCUCCCCUGGAAUUGGAUGUUACCUGGGGCUCCCAAAGAAGUCUAUCCAUUUGGGGGUCAUGCCCAGGAACAAAAGGAGCUAAACUUUGUUGCUUUGCCAGGCACAGUGCUAAGAACUUCAGCCCCUCAUUCCCUAUAAUCACGCUAUAAUGUAGAGACUCCUAUUACCUCUGUUUUACAGAUGAAAAACCUGAGUCCCAGGGAGGUAAAAGUCACUUGCCUAAGAUCUUAUAGCUAAUAAGUGACAAAGCUAGAGAUCAAACCUGGGCAGUCUGGCUCCAAAACACCAGGCUCUUAACCAAGACAUCAAAGGCACAAUUUCAAACCUGGGAGCAAAGGAGGAAGAGAGAAAAUGGGAGGCUCCAUGGAACUCCCCAACACCGUGCCGCCUUCUCUACCUGGCACAGAGGUCACGCAGUUUAACAGGAAGGUUUCCUACCCACUCCUGGCCUUGCCUGCAGCUUGGUGGGCGUCAUCGGGCAAGUCCCUUCGCCUUUCGGGCUCAGUGUCCCCAGUGGAAAAAGAAAGUGUUUGUAUAAGGGAUGAUUGGGAAGGCCCCAUGACCCUCUGCCAUCAGCCCUUCUCUGUAUCCUACCGUCUGAUCUAGAAAGGAAGCUUAAUACCAGGCCACUGUUUCCAGGUUCAUAAUUUCCCUCCUUUUGGGCACCAGAGCCUCAGGUCCUCCACGUCCCCUUCAUUCACCUGAAUGCAGGCUACUUCCUCCUCCCUGCCCCCUUCUACGGAUGCCAACUGGCUGAGAGACCGAGCUCUACUGGACAUGUCUAAUCAGAGACUUAGGUGAGACCCCAGUCUUCUUUUUCCCAGGCUCCUGGUGGCUAUGUAUGGUGCUAGAGUAACCUCUCUCCAGGGGGCUGUCAGCAGAACCAACAUGCACUUCUUCUGCUCACCCCAGACGUCUCCCUCUAUCCCCCCUUUCCAUGAGAUGCAGCAAGCCAGCAUGCCAGCUUCAAUCACACAGAUGAGGAUGGCACCCUAGUGGAUGGGGAGAAAUAAGAACCUUCAAGAACACAGCUGCCCCACCAGCUGUGACCAGCCGGUUGGUGCUAGGACUCCCUUAUAUUGGAGCCAGUGAGUUUUUGGUCUCUGUGAGACAAGAACAUAUAUACCAAGGCUGUUCAUAAAGGCCAUAUCUGGGAAGGCAAGCCACUUCUAGCUCCCACUGGCCUAUCGUGGAAAGUCACCCCAUGUCCAGCAGAUCUAAGUCCCAAAAUAGAUGGCGGCCAUGUGUCCACUAUUCCCCAGCCUUCCCACUUGUGAAAAGAACAUCUGUGGCCACUUGGUGUCCUGGAGAUUUCAUUUGCUACUUCAAUCUGUAUCCCAGAGCAAAGAUGUCUACUCACUUGAUUAAACCAGGACUACCAGAAGCUAAAGAGUUUCUCCAUUUCGAUUCCCACUCUCUGUUUGUCUGCUUAGAUUUAUUUACAAGACGGAAGGAAGGAGUUGAGGGGAUCGUGGGGGGAGCUGAGAUCCACUCUGGAAGUCCCUG